UACGUAGGGGGCAAGCGUUGUCCGGAUUCAUUGGGCGUAAAGAGCGUGUAGGCGGCCAGGUAGGUCGGUUGUGAAAACUGGAGGCUCAACCUUCAGAGGUCGACCGAAACCAUCUGGCUAGAGUCCGGGAGAGGAGAGUGGAAUUCCUGGUGUAGCGGUGAAAUGCGCAGAUAUCAGGAAGAACACCCGUGGCGAAAGCGGCUCUCUGGAACGGCACUGACGCUGAGACGCGAAAGCGUGGGGAGCGAACAGG
rnacentral:rRNA from 1 species